rnacentral:rRNA from 1 species
UAGUUAUAUUCUUGAAACUUAAAGAAUUUGGCGGUACUUUAAUCUAGUCAGAGGAACCUGUUCUGUAAUCGAUAUUCCACGUUAAAUUUUACUAAGUUAUUUGUAUAUCGUUGUCGAAAGAAUAAAUUUUCUAAUAUUUUUAUUUUAAUAAAUGUCAAAUCAAGGUGCAGUUAAUAGCUUAGAAGAAAUGGGUUACAAUAAAUAUAUUUAGGAAUUGGACAAAGGAGGAUUUGAAAGUAAAAUAAU